GUGCAGGCCUUGCUAUGAGUAUGAGAGAAGAGAGGGAAAUCAAGCCUGCCCUCAGUGCAAAACCAGAUACAAGCGCAUUAAAGGUAGUCCUAGGGUUGAUGGUGAUGAGGAAGAAGAUGAUAUUGAUGAUUUGGAGCAUGAGUUUGAUUAUGGAAACUUUGAUGGCCUAGGUCCAGAACAAGUUGCAGAAGCAAUGCUCUCUGCACGCCUUAAUACUGGGCUUGCUUCUCAUUCUAGUGUGUCUGGAAUUCCCGCACACUCAGAACUUGAUUCUUCUCCCCUUAGCUCUAAAAUUCCACUUUUGACAUAUGGCGAGGAGGAUGCUGAAAUUUCUUCCGACCAACAUGCUCUUAUUGUGCCCCCAUACAUGGUUCAUGGAAACAGAGUUCACCCGAUGCCUUAUUCUGAUCCAUCAAUACCCUUGCAACCUAGACCUAUGGUUCCUAAGAAAGACAUAGCUGUUUAUGGGUAUGGGAGUGUUGCUUGGAAAGAUAGAAUGGAAGAUUGGAAGAAAAGGCAGAGUGAAAAGCUUCAGGUGGUCAAGCAUGAAGGAGGAAACGGUGGUGGAAACUUUGAUGGACAUGAAUUGGAUGAUCCUGAUUUGCCCAUGAUGGAUGAAGGCAGACAGCCACUUUCAAGGAAGUUACCCAUACCAUCAAGCAAGAUAAGCCCAUACAGAUUGAUAAUCAUUCUCCGCCUUGUAAUUCUUGGCUUGUUUUUCCACUAUAGAAUUCUCCACCCAGUCAAUGAUGCCUAUGGUUUGUGGUUGACAUCAGUAAUAUGCGAAAUAUGGUUUGCAGUAUCAUGGAUUCUUGAUCAGUUUCCAAAAUGGCACCCUAUAGAACGAGAAACAUACCUUGAUCGGCUGUCACUAAGGUAUGAAAAAGAAGGAAAGCCAUCUGAAUUGGCUAGUGUAGAUAUAUUUGUGAGUACUGUUGAUCCAUUGAAAGAGCCCCCACUGAUCACUGCAAACACUGUUCUCUCGAUACUUGCGGUUGAUUAUCCUGUGGAUAAGGUUGCGUGCUAUGUGUCAGACGAUGGUGCUGCCAUGCUGACAUUUGAGGCACUCUCUGAGACAUCUGAAUUUGCAAGGAAAUGGGUUCCUUUCUGUAAGAAAUUUAAUAUUGAGCCCCGAGCACCUGAGUGGUAUUUUUCUCAGAAGAUUGACUAUUUAAAAAAUAAAGUCCACCCAUCUUUUGUGAGGGAGAGGCGUGCAAUGAAGAGAGAAUACGAAGAAUUCAAAGUUCGGAUAAAUGGACUGGUUGCCACUGCACAGAAAGUUCCAGAAGAUGGUUGGACAAUGCAGGAUGGAACUCCAUGGCCUGGCAACAAUGUACGAGAUCAUCCUGGCAUGAUACAGGUCUUCCUUGGCCAUAGUGGUGUCCGUGAUGUGGAAGGGAAUGAGUUACCUCGUUUGGUUUACGUUUCUCGUGAGAAGAGACCAGGUUUUGAACACCAUAAAAAGGCUGGGGCUAUGAAUGCUCUGGUUCGGGUGUCUGCAGUUCUGUCAAAUGCUCCUUAUCUUUUGAAUGUUGAUUGUGAUCACUAUAUUAACAAUAGCAAAGCUCUUAGGGAAGCUAUGUGUUUCAUGAUGGAUCCAACAUCAGGAAAGAAAGUUUGCUAUGUGCAAUUUCCUCAAAGAUUUGAUGGUAUUGAUCGUCAUGAUAGAUACUCAAAUCGGAAUGUUGUAUUCUUCGAUAUCAACAUGAAAGGAUUAGAUGGUUUGCAAGGACCGAUAUAUGUUGGAACUGGGUGUGUUUUUCGAAGGCAGGCACUUUAUGGUUAUGAUGCACCUGUCAAGAAGAAGCCCCCUGGUAAGACCUGCAACUGUUGGCCAAAAUGGUGCUGCCUCUGCUGUGGAUCCAGAAAGAACAAGAAAUCGAAGCCAAAGAAGGAGAAGAAAAAGAAGUCGAACAGGGAAGCAUCAAAGCAGAUACACGCUCUGGAAAAUAUUGAAGAAGGAAUUGAAGAUUCAACUACUGAAAAAUCUUCAGAAACAUCCCAAAUGAAAUUGGAGAAGAAGUUUGGACAGUCUCCAGUGUUUGUGGCUUCCACUAUUUUGGAGAAUGGUGGAGUUCCUCAAGAUGCCAGUCCUGCAUCACUGUUGAGAGAAGCCAUCCAAGUUAUCAGCUGUGGUUAUGAAGAUAAAACAGAAUGGGGAAAGGAAGUUGGCUGGAUAUAUGGCUCUGUGACUGAGGAUAUCCUGACAGGAUUCAAGAUGCACUGCCAUGGAUGGCGGUCUGUGUACUGCAUACCUAAGCGGCCUGCAUUUAAGGGGUCAGCUCCUAUUAAUCUGUCAGAUCGUCUAAACCAGGUUCUUCGGUGGGCCCUUGGGUCUGUGGAAAUUUUCUUGAGCAGACACUGUCCUCUCUGGUAUGGGUAUGGAGGAGGCCGUCUCAAAUGGCUUCAAAGGCUGGCAUAUGUAAACACCAUCGUUUAUCCUUUUACAUCUCUCCCUCUCAUUGCCUACUGUACACUCCCUGCAAUUUGUCUUCUCACAGGAAAGUUCAUCAUACCAACGGUAUUUUCUGUCGCUUUUUCUCUCCUCUUUUUUUUAACUAGAUCUUAGUCUUCUCAGUUUGCUUAUGAUAAAAAUCUGAGUCUUGUAAAACCUUCAAUUUGCCAAUAUGUGCUUCAGAAUCCUUUGUUUAAUGCACUAACUUGGCAUCAUACCUUGUUACUGAUCCAGCUCUCAAACCUGGCAAGCAUGCUAUUUCUUGGCCUCUUUAUCUCCAUUAUCGUAACUGCAGUGCUUGAGCUACGAUGGAGUGGUGUCAGUAUCGAAGAUUUGUGGCGCAACGAACAGUUCUGGGUGAUUGGAGGUGUUUCAGCCCAUCUUUUUGCUGUCUUCCAAGGAUUCUUGAAAAUGUUGGCCGGCAUUGAUACCAACUUCACUGUCACUGCAAAAGGAGCGGAUGAUACAGAAUUUGGCGAGCUCUACUUAGUCAAGUGGACAACGCUUUUGAUUCCUCCAACAACCCUUAUCAUUCUCAAUAUGGUUGGUGUUGUUGCUGGAUUCUCAGAUGCACUCAACAAAGGAUAUGAAGCAUGGGGACCUCUCUUUGGCAAGGUGUUUUUUGCCUUCUGGGUGAUUCUCCAUCUCUAUCCAUUCCUCAAAGGUCUCAUGGGCCGCCAAAACAGAACACCAACCAUUGUUGUU
rnacentral:misc_RNA from 1 species